rnacentral:other from 1 species
GUUUGACUGCGACGUUGGUGACUGCCAAUAACGUAUUUUUGACCUACAACUAAAAUACGAAGGGAGCCGAGAUGUUUGAGUGGCAGUAGGCCGGGCUUGUACCCGGAAACUUUAAACUCAGCCGAGGUUCCCGUCCUGGUUUUUCCAGGUCAAAAACUGAGGUAAAACGGCGUUGCGGUUGACCU